UAACACAUGCAAGUCGAGCGCGCCCUUCGGGGUGAGCGGCGGACGGGUUAGUAACGCGUGGGAAUAUGCCCAAAGGUACGGAAUAGCCUCUGGAAACGGAGAGUAAUACCGUAUGUGCCCUUCGGGGGAAAGAUUUAUCGCCUUUGGAUUAGCCCGCGUUAGAUUAGGUAGUUGGUGGGGUAAUGGCCUACCAAGCCUACGAUCUAUAGCUGGUUUUAGAGGAUGAUCAGCAACACUGGGACUGAGACACGGCCCAGACUCCUACGGGAGGCAGCAGUGGGGAAUCUUGGACAAUGGGCGCAAGCCUGAUCCAGCCAUGCCGCGUGAGUGAUGAAGGCCUUAGGGUCGUAAAGCUCUUUCGCCAGGGAUGAUAAUGACAGUACCUGGUAAAGAAACCCCGGCUAACUCCGUGCCAGCAGCCGCGGUAAUACGGAGGGGGUUAGCGUUGUUCGGAAUUACUGGGCGUAAAGCGCGCGUAGGCGGAUCGGAAAGUUGGGGGUGAAAUCCCGGGGCUCAACCCCGGAACUGCCUCCAAAACUAUCGGUCUAGAGUUCGAGAGAGGUGAGUGGAAUUCCGAGUGUAGAGGUGAAAUUCGUAGAUAUUCGGAGGAACACCAGUGGCGAAGGCGGCUCACUGGCUCGAUACUGACGCUGAGGUGCGAAAGUGUG
rnacentral:rRNA from 1 species